UGCUUGCUUGGGAUGAGUUGGGAUUCAAUUUCUCUCUCUUGAUGAUGUAAAGUCAUGCAUUAUAAUUGCAUAUACCUUUUUUUUUGGUUAAAAAUUACACUUAUUCCUUGUCUCAAGAUAAAGCAAGGCGAAAAGAGCUUACAUGAUGCGUGGAUGCAUUAUCUAACGUUUCCACAGCCAACUCCUAGUAAGAGAUCAAGGAAGAGCACAAUCUUACAAAGUCGAGCAUGAUUUUGUUGUCCCC
rnacentral:lncRNA from 1 species